rnacentral:rRNA from 1 species
AACGAACGCUGGCGGCAUGCCUAACACAUGCAAGUCGAACGAGACCUUCGGGUCUAGUGGCGCACGGGUGCGUAACGCGUGGGAACCUGCCCUUAGGUUCGGAAUAACUCCCCGAAAGGGGUGCUAAUACCGGAUAAUGUCUUCGGACCAAAGAUUUAUGGCCUUUGGAUGGGCCCGCGUUGGAUUAGCUAGUUGGUAGGGUAAAAGCCUACCAAGGCGACGAUCCAUAGCUGGUCUGAGAGGAUGAUCAGCCACACUGGGACUGAGACACGGCCCAGACUCCUACGGGAAGCAGCAGUGGGGAAUAUUGGACGAUGGGCGAAAGCCUGAUCCAGCAAUGCCGCGUGAGUGAUGAAGGCCUUAGGGUUGUAAAGCUCUUUUACCCGGGAUGAUAAUGACAGUACCGGGAGAAUAAGCUCCGGCUAACUCCGUG